rnacentral:rRNA from 1 species
AGUGAACGCUGGCGGUAGGCCUAACACAUGCAAGUCGAACGGCAGCACAGUAAGAGCUUGCUCUUACGGGUGGCGAGUGGCGGACGGGUGAGGAAUACAUCGGAAUCUACUUUUUCGUGGGGGAUAACGUAGGGAAACUUACGCUAAUACCGCAUACGACCUACGGGUGAAAGCAGGGGAUCUUCGGACCUUGCGCGAUUGAAUGAGCCGAUGUCGGAUUAGCUAGUUGGCGGGGUAAAGGCCCACCAAGGCGACGAUCCGUAGCUGGUCUGAGAGGAUGAUCGGCCACAUGGGAACUGAGACACGGUCCAGACUCCUACGGGAGGCAGCAGUGGGGAAUAUUGGACAAUGGGCGAAAGCCUGAUCCAGCCAUACCGCGGGGGUGAAGAAGGCCUUCGGGUGGUAAAGCCCUUUUGUUGGGAAAGAAAGGCAGCAGGUUAAUACCCCGCUGUUCUGACGGUACCCAAAGAAUAAGCACCGGCUAAUUUCGU